rnacentral:rRNA from 1 species
UACGGAGGGGGCUAGCGUUGUUCGGAAUUACUGGGCGUAAAGCGCACGUAGGCGGACCAUUAAGUCGGGGGUGAAAGCCCGGAGCUCAACUCCGGAAUUGCCUUCGAUACUGGCGGUCUUGAGAAUGAGAGAGGUAAGUGGAAUUCCUAGUGUAGAGGUGAAAUUCGUAGAUAUUAGGAAGAACACCAGUGGCGAAGGCGGCUUACUGGCUCAUUUCUGACGCUGAGGUGCGAAAGCGUGGGGAGCAAACAGG